UGGGGAAUCUUGCGCAAUGGACGAAAGUCUGACGCAGCCACGCCGCGUGAGUGAAGAAGGCCUUCGGGUUGUAAAGCUCUGUCGGAGGGGACAAAAACCAUGUCGGUUAAUAGCCGAUGUGCUUGAUGGUACCCUUAAAGGAAGCACCGGCUAACUUCGUGCCAGCAGCCGCGGUAAUACGAAGGGUGCAAGCGUUGCUCGGAAUUAUUGGGCGUAAAGGGUAGGUAGGUGGUGGCAAAAGUCUGGGGUGAAAUCCCCGAGCUCAACUCGGGACGUGCCUUGGAAACUUUGUUACUAGAGUACUAGAGAGGUUCGUGGAAUUCCUGGUGUAGCGGUGAAAUGCGUAGAGAUCAGGAGGAACAUCAGCGGCGAAGGCGGCGAACUGGAUAGUAACUGACACUCAACUACGAAAGCGUGGGGAGCAAACAGGAUUAGAUACCCCUGUAGUCC
rnacentral:rRNA from 1 species